rnacentral:rRNA from 1 species
GAUGAACGCUGACGGCGUGCCUAAUACAUGCAAGUCGAGCGAACGGACGAGAAGCUUGCUUCUCUGAUGUUAGCGGCGGACGGGUGAGUAACACGUGGAUAACCUACCUAUAAGACUGGGAUAACUUCGGGAAACCGGAGCUAAUACCGGAUAAUAUUUUGAACCGCAUGGUUCAAAAGUGAAAGACGGUUUUGCUGUCACUUAUAGAUGGAUCCGCGCUGCAUUAGCUAGUUGGUAAGGUAACGGCUUACCAAGGCGACGAUGCAUAGCCGACCUGAGAGGGUGAUCGGCCACACUGGAACUGAGACACGGUCCAGACUCCUACGGGAGGCAGCAGUGGGGAAUCUUCCGCAAUGGGCGAAAGCCUGACGGAGCAACGCCGCGUGAGUGAUGAAGGUCUUCGGAUCGUAAAACUCUGUUAUUAGGGAAGAACAUAUGUGUAAGUAACUGUGCACAUCUUGACGGUACCUAAUCAGAAAGCCACGGCUAACUACGUG